UUAUAUAAUAAUUGGUGAACUUUAUGCUGUCACACAGGCCUACCGGUGGAUGAUAGACUCUCGCGAUGACUUUACUGAGGAGCGGCUGUCUAAACUUCAGGACCCCUUCUCUCUCUACCGCUGCCACACUAUCAUGAAUUGCACCAAGUCCUGCCCCAAGGGACUCAACCCAGCAAAGGCCAUCGCUGAGAUCAAGAAAAUGAUGGCAAUUUACCAAGAAAAGAAAGCGGUUGCAUCAUGAACAGACACGAGUUAAGACCGCUCAGAGCCACUAAUACUACUUCCUCAAUUUAAGCUUAGUGGAGAGAAGAUCUAACAAGGAACGUUGGCAAUUUUUGCAGAUGUGGGCAGUUACGCUGCUGACCAUGCUACAAAACGGUCAACAUAUUUAUUUUCACUUUACGAGUCGCAAUUAAAAAACUUUU